CACGCCCACGAGGGACUCUGGGCAAGCAGCUGCCCACCCAGUGCCCACACAGCCUGUGACAUCAUCUCUCCCCUGUCCCCAGUCAUGGGCCACCACCCAAUGUCAGAGGAAACCCACCGCACACCCAGCACCCUGGGUCGUGAGGGAAACCGAGGCCCGGAGGAGGAAGAAGACCAGAGGCCAGCACUCCCCGGCUCUGGCUCAGGCACUCAUCCUCUCAAACAGCCUCCUUCCCAGGACUGGGAGAAGCUGGUCAGAGCUGAAGGCACCCCGGAGCCUUCUCUGCCACCCGCUCCUGUCUUGCAGGUCUGCAUUAAGCACCCAUAGGUGCUACCUCAGUCCUCGCAGUUACCCUACCAAGGAAGUGCUAUGACUACUUGCAUUGUACAGUUGGCCUAAAAUCCGUCACAUGUGGUUAAGGUGCAAGUCAAAGAGUUUUAAGGUCUGCAGAGGCAGAACCAAACCCUGGCUGAUGCAGGAGCCGCUGCUGUCAAUCACAGAUGCCCUGUCUGGUCGGACAACACCUGAAAGCUUUGUCUCCAGGUGUAUCAGAAUAGAACCAUCACCCUUGCCUUUAACCUGUGCCUGGUUCUCUGUCCAACCCACCUGACCGUACAACCUCUCUGCUGACGGAUCUCCUCUUCAGUCCUCCCAGACGGUGAUUCGUGGAGC